GGAUUAUUCAUGGCCCAGUGCACUACCUUUGUUGGAAAAUAUUUUUGCAAAAUUAUAUAUUAUAUAUAAUUGUAUUAUUAAUUUAUAUAUUUGUUUUUAUUGUAAUUUGUUCAGGUGGUGCUGCAACACCCUUCGCACCCAUACUUCCUGCGGCGCUGCACACAACCUGCCGUCUCUACUAUUGGUCAAUGAGGAUGGAGGGCUGCUCACUCCACCUCUAACACGUCUGAACAGACACUGCUGCACAGAGGAUAAGAAAGGGUAUCGCCAUCCAUCUCACAGAGGCCACAAAUCUGCUCCUCCACUCCUCACGACUGAAAAGGGUGAGCCAGCAGCCGAAAACCAGCAAACUUGAGGAUGGGGAGAAACCAGAGGGAUUGCGAAUGAGUUGGCAGCCAACUCUAACACCGCCUCUUCCCGAAAAGUGGACG
rnacentral:lncRNA from 13 species